UGGGGGGAACCCUGAUCCAGCCAUGCCGCGUGUGUGAAGAAGGCCUUUUGGUUGUAAAGCACUUUAAGCGAGGAGGAGGCUACCGAGACUAAUACUCUUGGAUAGUGGACGUUACUCGCAGAAUAAGCACCGGCUAACUCUGUGCCAGCAGCCGCGGUAAUACAGAGGGUGCGAGCGUUAAUCGGAUUUACUGGGCGUAAAGCGUGCGUAGGCGGCUUUUUAAGUCGGAUGUGAAAUCCCUGAGCUUAACUUAGGAAUUGCAUUCGAUACUGGGAGGCUAGAGUAUGGGAGAGGAUGGUAGAAUUCCAGGUGUAGCGGUGAAAUGCGUAGAGAUCUGGAGGAAUACCGAUGGCGAAGGCAGCCAUCUGGCCUAAUACUGACGCUGAGGUACGAAAGCAUGGGGAGCAAACAGGAUUAGAUACCCUGGUAGUCCAUGCCGUAAACGAUGUCUACUAGCCGUUGGGGCCUUUGAGGCUUUAGUGGCGCAGCUAACGCGAUAAGUAGACCGCCUGGGGAG
rnacentral:rRNA from 1 species